ensembl:lncRNA
UGCUUAAAAUGUUUCUUUUCAGAGUUCCUGUCAUGGCUCAGUGGUUAUCCCACCCGACUAGUAUCCAUGGGGACUUGGGUUCGAUCCCUGGCCUUGCUCAGUGGGUUAAGGAUCUGGCGUUGCCAUGAGCUGUGGUGUAGGUCCAGAUGCAGCUCGGAUCCCGCGUUGCUGUGGCUGUGGUGUAGACCGACAGCUACAGCUCCGAUUGGACCCCUAGCCCGGGAACCCCCAUGUGCCGUGGGUGCCGCCCUAAAAAAGACAAAAAAUAAAGUUUUUCUUUUUUUUUUGCUUCAAUGGCAUCAACCCCACAAACCCCGCAUUAAGGGACAGAAGGUGGGAGGGGUUCUGGGCUCAGAGUCUAGCAGGUGAAGCCGACCGAGCAGGCCGGCGUUGGCGGGGCAGACCGCGAGAGGUCGCAGGAGGGCGGCAUCACGCGUGGGAAUUGGGGGCUGGCACACUCAUUCUGGGGCAGUUGCGUGUGUUGAGGGGGGGGGGUGCCCGGAAGGCUCCAGAAUCCAGGCUGGCCUCUCCUGCUCUCGCGGGCACCCUCUGCGGCGUUUCCAUCGGGUCCUUCCACGCUGCUGUCCCCGCAGCCACACCGCGUGUGAGCACUCGGGCCACGGUCAGCAAGAGGGUCUGCGAAAGCGGGAGCACGUUUGCCGAGCAGGCAGGGGCAGGGAGAAGAGAGCGCAGGCCGUUGAGCAGAAAGGCAAAAACGUCUGCCCUGCAGAAUCUUGGAAUGUUUGCGCUGGAGGCGGAGAGGAGAAAAAUGACAAAGUCUGAAAAAAUAUCUGCGCUCUGUCUGGGGCACCCGUGACUUGUCAUUUGAGACCAUAGGGUGACACCUAGUGGACACCCCGGGAAGUGCUCCCUGUGGAGGAGGCGGUGGUCCAGGGGGCUCAGGGGGCUCCACCGAGUACUAAGCGAAGGAGGACCUGGCGCAGGUGCCUCCCUCGGAGCUCACCUCACUCGGUGACAACGCCUGGAAAGAGCAGUGCGUGAGGGCUCUGGAUGCCACGACUGGCUCAGACCCCAGUUGGGAGACCAGCCCGAGACUCUGCUGGGAAGGCUCUGCCCCUCAUUCUGCGGCUCCCAUCCUCCGCCUGCCCCCAGCCCCCACCGCGCCCAGCCCCUGCCUCCGCUGUGGAACUGAGUGAGCUUGGAGGCAGGGCAGACCCCCUGAGGGCACCAGGCCCACCUUGAGGACUUUUUUCUGUUGCCCCCAGCAGAAGACCAGCUCUGGUCAUGGAUGCCAGGCACCGGCCCGGCUCUCUGCUGGCGCUAAAUCCGAAAGAGAUCUGUCGGAGGAAAGGGCCGGGAUCUUGAGUCAGGAUUCUAGCCUUGUCCAAACAUAAGCACUAUGGGGAUGGGAACUGAGCAGUUCUAGAAAGUUCUCCGUCUUCCAUAGUCAAAAUUGGCCUCUGCAAUUUUACCCCAUUUGUUCUUAUGCAGCCAUCCGGAGUAACUUCUGUUUUUUUCUGAGAUGCCUGCAAACAGCUUUCACGUUCCCCGUAAACACUGUAGUUUUAGGCUAAGUCUGCCCAACCUCCUUCUUUCUUGAGAGCAUUGAUUUUCAACCACGGACGACUUUGCCCCGCGAGCGACUUCUGGCAGAGUCCCGGGACCUUUUGGUUGAAACACCUGGAGGAGGGAGGCUGCUACUGCCACCUAGUGGUCAGAGGCCAGGAUGCUGUAACCUCCAGCAGCAUCCAGGGCGUGCUCCCACCCCACCCCACACAAAGAACUUUCCAGUCUGAGAGAUGCUUUAGAGCUGAGGUUGUGGAACCCUGCUUCCGAGUUCCGAGAUGUUCCAACAUCCUUCAAGGGGACUCUUCAUUUGUCAUUGUCAUCUUCAAUGUUUACACCGAGAGGUGGUACAGAACUCCAGGAGAGCUCCCACCAGCCUUGGUAUCUCGGUGUCUACACACCAGACAUCUCUUGGUGGAGCCUAAAAAUUACAUCACCCCUCUAAGCAAUCCCUUUCUCAUAUGGUCAGUAUGUCCUUAAUGUUGCAACAAAG